ACAAUUGAAGAUUGAAGAAAAACAAAGGUAAAGUAAGUUCAUAUGAGAGUUUCAGGCUUCAUGUAAGAGACAUCUCUCCUCAGUCAUGCGGCAAGCUUCUUCAGCUAUUUCCACCGGUAAUCGUCGAUGAUUCUCAAAGACAGCAGCAUUCCUUGCUCUCCAGAUGCACCAGACAAGGUUCGCAGCAAGCUUCUUCUUCCUUCGAGAUUCAAAGACUCCAUUAAAAAUAACCACCAUCUCCAUGGCUCCAUAGCUUGAUUCAGUAGCGGAAGUCCUACAAGAUCCCAUGCUUCAACCACGCUUUCACAUCCCCACAGGCAAUGGCGUACCGAUUCCUCCAUAGCAUCACAAAUCAGACAGGUUCCAAAACUGGAACACUACUUCAUGUCCCGAAGCCACCGAAUAUUCUCCAGAUUUCUCCUUUUACCAGAAGAAGAAUCCAACUCCAGCAGCUACAGCAGGGAGAGAUGCAUAAAUCUUUCGCAUGGCCAUUGGUGUAACGAUAGAUUGAUAGGAAAGAAUAAGAGCCUUGUGAUGACUAUAUAUAUAUAUAUAUAUAUGAGUCCAGAGAAAAUAUUAAGAAGAUCAGAUACUUUGUUAAUGAUGGGAAUUUGGGAAGCAAACAAUGGUUUAUAAAGGGACGGAACGGGUAAAAAAAAGAGAAAGCAUAGUGUUUUAUCUUAUCUUAUUUUAAUUUAAUCCAUUGGGGUAAGGAAUUAAAUUUAAAAGUGCUGAAAGAUUUGUUCCA